AGUCCCGUGGUGUAGAGGCCAAUCAUUCCGGUCUUUGGAACCGGGUACCCAGGUUCGAAUCCUGGCGGGACUA
rnacentral:tRNA from 1 species